CCAGGAGCUUGCUCCUGGGUGAGAGUGGCGAACGGGUGAGUAAUGCGUGACCGACCUGCCCCAUACACCGGAAUAGCUCCUGGAAACGGGUGGUAAUGCCGGAUGCUCCAGUUGGAYGCAUGUCCUUCUGGGAAAGAUUCAUCGGUAUGGGAUGGGGUCGCGUCCUAUCAGCUUGAUGGCGGGGUAACGGCCCACCAUGGCUUCGACGGGUAGCCGGCCUGAGAGGGCGACCGGCCACAUUGGGACUGAGAUACGGCCCAGACUCCUACGGGAGGCAGCAGUGGGGAAUAUUGCACAAUGGGCGCAAGCCUGAUGCAGCGACGCCGCGUGCGGGAUGACGGCCUUCGGGUUGUAAACCGCUUUUGACUGGGAGCAAGCCCUUCGGGGUGAGUGUACCUUUCGAAUAAGCACCGGCUAACUACGUGCCAGCAGCCGCGGUAAUACGUAGGGUGCAAGCGUUAUCCGGAAUUAUUGGGCGUAAAGGGCUCGUAGGCGGUUCGUCGCGUCCGGUGUGAAAGUCCAUCGCUUAACGGUGGAUCCGCGCCGGGUACGGGCGGGCUUGAGUGCGGUAGGGGAGACUGGAAUUCCCGGUGUAACGGUGGAAUGUGUAGAUAUCGGGAAGAACACCAAUGGCGAAGGCAGGUCUCUGGGCCGUCACUGACGCUGAGGAGCGAAAGCGUGGGGAGCGAACAGGAUUAGAUACCCUGGUAGUCCACGCCGUAAACGGUGGAUGCUGGAUGUGGGGACCAUUCCACGGUCUCCGUGUCGGAGCCAACGCGUUAAGCAUCCCGCCUGGGGAGUACGGCCGCAAGGCUAAAACUCAAAGAAAUUGACGGGGGCCCGCACAAGCGGCGGAGCAUGCGGAUUAAUUCGAUGCAACGCGAAGAACCUUACCUGGGCUUGACAUGUUCCCGACAGCCGUAGAGAUACGGUCUCCCUUCGGGGCGGGUUCACAGGUGGUGCAUGGUCGUCGUCAGCUCGUGUCGUGAGAUGUUGGGUUAAGUCCCGCAACGAGCGCAACCCUCGCCCUGUGUUGCCAGCACGUCGUGGUGGGAACUCACGGGGGACCGCCGGGGUCAACUCGGAAGAAG
rnacentral:rRNA from 1 species